rnacentral:rRNA from 1 species
CAAUAGUUUUUUAAUUGAAAGCUGGAAUGAAGGGUUGGAUAAAAAAAUAACUGUUUCUAUUUAAUUUAAUUAGAAUUUUAUAUUUAAGUUAAAAAGCUUAAAUUUUGUUAAAAGACGAGAAGACCCUAUAGAGUUUAAUAAAUAAUUAUAUUAUUAUAUUUAGAAUUAAUUUUAUUAGUUAUAUUAUUUAUUUAAUUGGGGUGAUUAAAAAAUUCAAAUAACUUUUUUUAUAUUGUAACAUUUAUAGAUGAAUAUUUGAUCCAUGGUUAAUGAUUAAAAGAUAAAAUUACCUUAGGGAUAACAGCGUUAUUUUUUUUUAGAGUUCAAAUCGAAAGAAAAGAUUGCGACCUCGAUGUUGGAUUAAAAUAAAUUUUUGGUGUAGAAGCUAAAAUAUUAGGUCUGUU